AGAGUUUGAUCCUGGCUCAGAUUGAACGCUGGCGGCAGGCUUAACACAUGCAAGUCGAGCGGAGAUGAGGUGCUUGCACCUUAUCUUAGCGGCGGACGGGUGAGUAAUGCUUAGGAAUCUGCCUAUUAGUGGGGGACAACAUUCCGAAAGGAAUGCUAAUACCGCAUACGUCCUACGGGAGAAAGCAGGGGAUCUUCGGACCUUGCGCUAAUAGAUGAGCCUAAGUCGGAUUAGCUAGUUGGUGGGGUAAAGGCCUACCAAGGCGACGAUCUGUAGCGGGUCUGAGAGGAUGAUCCGCCACACUGGGACUGAGACACGGCCCAGACUCCUACGGGAGGCAGCAGUGGGGAAUAUUGGACAAUGGGGGGAACCCUGAUCCAGCCAUGCCGCGUGUGUGAAGAAGGCCUUAUGGUUGUAAAGCACUUUAAGCGAGGAGGAGGCUACUGAGACUAAUACUCUUGGAUAGUGGACGUUACUCGCAGAAUAAGCACCGGCUAACUCUGUGCCAGCAGCCGCGGUAAUACAGAGGGUGCGAGCGUUAAUCGGAUUUACUGGGCGUAAAGCGUGCGUAGGCGGCUUUUUAAGUCGGAUGUGAAAUCCCCGAGCUUAACUUGGGAAUUGCAUUCGAUACUGGGAAGCUAGAGUAUGGGAGAGGAUGGUAGAAUUCCAGGUGUAGCGGUGAAAUGCGUAGAGAUCUGGAGGAAUACCGAUGGCGAAGGCAGCCAUCUGGCCUAAUACUGACG
rnacentral:rRNA from 1 species